UGCAGCUCGAGUUGCGCGCUGACGUAGCAAUACGGUAUGGCGCACGGCGCACGGGUGCGUAACACGUGGGCAAUCUGCCCUUCGAUGGGGAAUAACUCCGGGAAACCGAAGCUAAUUCCGCAUAACAUUCCCUGGACUCCGGUUUGGGGAUUCAAAGCAGCAAUGCGUCGAAGGAGGAGCCCGCGCCCGAUUAGCUAGUUGGUAGGGUAACGGCCUACCAAGGCUUUGAUCGGUAGCUGGUCUGAGAGGAUGGCCAGCCACACUGGAACUGAGACACGGUCCAGACUCCUACGGGAGGCAGCAGUGGGGAAUCUUGCGCAAUGGGCGAAAGCCUGACGCAGCGACGCCGCGUGGGGGAUGAAGCUUCUCGGAGUGUAAACCCCUUUCGACUGGGACGAAUGCCUCGCAAGAGGAGUGACGGUACCAGUAGAAGAAGCCCCGGCUAACUACGUGCCAGCAGCCGCGGUAAGACGUAGGGGGCCAGCGUUGUUCGGAAUUACUGGGUGUAAAGGGUUCGUAGGCGGUGUGGCAAGUCGGGAGUGAAAUUUCUGGGCUUAACCCAGAACCUGCUUCCGAAACUGCUGUGCUCGAGUGUGGGAGAGGCGCGUGGAAUUGCAGGUGUAGCGGUGAAAUGCGUAGAUAUCUGCAGGAACACCCGUGGCGAAAGCGGCGCGCUGGACCACUACUGACGCUGAGGAACGAAAGCUAGGGGAGCAAACAGGAUUAGAUACCCUGGUAGUCCUAGCCCUAAACGAUCAGGACUUGGGGUGCCACCCGUUCGGGUGUCGUCCCGGAGCUAACGCGUUAAGUCCUGCACCUGGGGAGUACGGUCGCAAGACUGAAACUCAAAGGAAUUGACGGGGGCCCGCACAAGC
rnacentral:rRNA from 1 species